UGGGGAAUAUUGCACAAUGGGGGAAACCCUGAUGCAGCGACGCCGCGUGAACGAAGAAGGUAUUCGUAUCGUAAAGUUCUGUCCUAUGGGAAGAUAAUGACAGUACCAUAGAAGAAAGCUCCGGCUAAAUACGUGCCAGCAGCCGCGGUAAUACGUAUGGAGCGAGCGUUGUCCGGAAUUAUUGGGCGUAAAGGGUACGCAGGCGGUUUAAUAAGUCGAAUGUUAAAGAUCGGGGCUCAACCCCGUAAAGCAUUGGAAACUGAUAAACUUGAGUUGUGGAGAGGAAAGUGGAAUUCCUAGUGUAGUGGUGAAAUACGUAGAUAUUAGGAGGAAUACCAGUAGCGAAGGCGACUUUCUGGACACAAACUGACGCUGAGGUACGAAAGCGUGGGGAGCAAACAGG
rnacentral:rRNA from 1 species